rnacentral:rRNA from 1 species
GAUGAACGCUGGCGGCGUGCCUAACACAUGCAAGUCGAGCGGAGAGAGACGAGUAUUCGUACAAAUCUCUCUUAGCGGCGGACGGGUGAGUAACACGUGAGUAACCUGCCUUCUUCUGGGGAAUAACACAGAGAAAUUUGUGCUAAUACCGCAUAAAGUAACGACUGGGCAUCCAGAUGUGACCAAAGGAGCAAUCCGGAGGAAGAUGGACUCGCGUCCGAUUGGGUAGUUGGUGAGGUAACGGCCAACCAAGCCUACGAUCGGUAGCGCAACUGAGCGGUUGAUCGGCCACAUUGGGACUGAGACACGGCCCAGCAUCCUACGGGAGGCAGCAUUGGGGAAUAUUGGGCAAUGGGGGAAACCCUGACCCAGCAACGCCGCGUGAAGGACGAAGGCCUUCGGGUUGUAAACUUCUUUGAUCAGGGACGAAACAAAUGACGGUACCUGAGGAACAAGCCACGGCUAACUACGUGCCAGCCGCCGCCGUAA